AGAGCCCUCAAGCAUUGGCAAGGGUUGCCUUUCUGUGCCCUGUGCAAUGCAUUCUGGGAUAAUGGAGGACUUCCUCCUUCCUAGAUCUGCUGGUUGGGGGUGAGACUGGCAGAGGCAAAAAGAGCCUCUAAUUGUCCGGGGGAAGGUAGGACACACAGGCCUUGACCAGCAGCCCUCCACGAACCUUUCCAGGGCCUGUUCUCUGGCUACAGUUGAGCUCUGAGGAGGUGAUAUGAACUCUUCUGGCACUGGCUCUUUUUCUCUUAAUAAAGUGUAAAGAUAU